GUACAAUUCAAUAAAAUUCUGAUAUUACAAAAAGGUAAACAGUACUUGAUUCAAAACACACACAAGACUUUAAUACAAGUUGUGGUGUACCAAAAUCAAAACUAGAAAAACACAAUUUUCAUGAACUUGCUAUUGUUGUUGAAAGUAAAUCUAAAUAUGAAUUUAUUGAGGUUUCUAAAUUCUAGUUCAUGUUCAAAUGUUCCUAUAGAUCAAAUCAAGUAUAAAAUAUAACAUAUAGUAGAUCAAGAUGCAGUUAAUUUAUUGUCGUUGAAAACAGAUAAAGUCACCAUGAAGGAACUGGUGACAAUAUUCCUGGAUAUGAUCAUGCUUUGUGGGUAUUAGAUGACUAAUCUAGAGAUUACUUGUCUAUUAAUGGAUUUUCACAAGAUUUAAAAUGCAUAAAUACAUCAAAUUCUAAAAGAAUAUAUACAAAGUCUUAUAGAGAAGUCAUAAAAACAUACUAAAGAUUUUUCAAAGCUAAUUAUUUACUAACCACUCUAAAACAUGGUGAAAUAAUCAAGUUUAACUGUUUCAUGUGCUCUGAAAGCAAAGGUUCCAUUUUUUGUAUACUAUGUUUACUAUUUGGUGGAAUAUCUUCAUUUUCAAACUGAAAAAAAGUUGGCAUUGUAUUAAGGAACAUGGUAAUUCACCAAAACACCAUUCAAAUGUGUUGACAAUGAAAAACCGUGGAAUGGUAAAUAACUGCAUUAACCAAAAUUUAAUUAAAGAAAUUGAGAAUGAAAAAUGUAUUAAAGAGAAUUGUAGCCAUUGUAAAAUCAUUGGCUUCUUGAGGAUUGGCAUUUCGUGGUCACAACUUACAAAUAGUUAGUCCUCUUAAUGGUAAUUUUAUGACAGCACUCAAGUUAAUUGCAGAAUUUGAUCCAUUUCUUUCAACGCAUAUAAAAAAAUAUGGAAAUUCUGGAAAGGGAAAUGUUUCAUAUGUCUUAUAUAACACAUAUAAACAGUUUAUUAACAUAAUAUUAGAAACAGUAAGAAACACAAUCAUUCAAGAAAUUUAAAAUGCCAUAAGUGUAGAUUCAAUACCGGAUAUUUCUCAUAUAGAUCAGUUAUCAUUAGUCAUACGAUAUGUUGAUCCAUAUGGGAAACCAGUUGAGUGUUUUUUAUGCUUUUUAGAUCAUAUUGGUUUUCGGGAGGAAGUAAUGCGAUGGUCCCCUCCCGGUGGUUGGUUCAAACAGAAAAAAAAGAUCAUAUUGGUUUUAAAGCUGAACAGAUAGCUACAGCAAUAAUUUCGACUCUUGAGAAGUUUGAUUUAGAUUUCAUAAACCUAAGAGGACAAUCAUAUGAAAAUGCUAGCAAUAUGUCUGGAUUUAUUCUGAACUACAAGUUAGAAUUAAAAGUGUUAGCCCACUGGCACAAUUUAUAUCUUUCUCUGCUCAUUCUUUGAAUUUAGAGAAAACUAAUGCAGCUAGUUAAAAUGCAUUAAAGUUUUUGAUUUACUUCAAAAACUGUUAGCAUUUUUUUCAGUUUCAACGAACCACUAGAAAAUAUUGUUGUCAAAAGUUAAAAAUUUAUCAGAUACUAAAUAGUUUGUUAGAGAUAUUGUAUACAGAAAAAUUGGAUAUCAAUAGUUAAUGCCCUAGAAAUAAUUAAGUGAUGAGACUCAGAAGUCCAAUACACGUUGUGAAGCCAAUGGUAUUUUAAAACAAUUAUUAUCUUUAGAAAUGCUUAUCAUGUCAUUUUUUUGGGGUGAUAUACUAGAAAGAUUUAAUAUGUGUAAUAUAAAAUUACAGUUUGUUGAUAUAGACUUAGGAAUUGUGGUUGGGAUAUAUGAGUCUUUGAUUUUUUUAUAUAAGAGACAUUUAUGAAUACUACAAAAAAUUAGCCGUUAAAAAAUGUGGGAUUGAAGACUUUAUAACUACCAAUAAACGUAAGAAACAUAGAAAAAUGUUUAUCGAUGAUGGUCCAGCUUCUGACAAUAGUAAUUGUGUGGAUUUAAACUAUUUAAAGGGAAUGGCGUUUAUAUUUAUCUUUGAUAAAAUUAUGGCUAAACUAGAAAAAAAAAAACAAUCAUAUGAUGAACUUUUCCAUUAAUACCAGUUUUUGAUUCCUUUAACCGCCAUAAUCUGCAUAGAGGUACGCAAGAAGACUAAACAACUUCAAAAAGUAUUACCGGAAGAUUUGGAAAUAUCAUUUCCAAAUGAAUGUAUUCACUUUAGGGCACAUUUAAAAAGCUUACAAAAGUAGAAUAAAGUUGUACCUGAAAGUUUUCAGUGUAUGUUAGUAUUUAUAAAACAGAAUAGUUAAGUUGAAGUAUGUUGUCCUAUAUUAUAUUGAUAUUGCUCUAAUGUUUCUAUGUAUACAAUCAAGUAAUUGUUCAACGGAAAGAUCAUCAAAAUGGGUCAAAAUUUAUUUAAGAUCAACAAUGGGAGAAAAUCAUCUUAAUUCAUUAGCACUUUUCAACAUUGAAGCUAAUUUAACAAAAACUAUUAAUU